rnacentral:rRNA from 1 species
GACGAACGCUGGCGGCAUGCCUAACACAUGCAAGUCGAACGAGACCUUCGGGUCUAGUGGCGCACGGGUGCGUAACGCGUGGGAACCUGCCCUUAGGUUCGGAAUAACUCCCCGAAAGGGGUGCUAAUACCGGAUAAUGUCUUCGGACCAAAGAUUUAUCGCCUUUGGAUGGGCCCGCGUUGGAUUAGCUAGUUGGUAGGGUAAAAGCCUACCAAGGCGACGAUCCAUAGCUGGUCUGAGAGGAUGAUCAGCCACACUGGGACUGAGACACGGCCCAGACUCCUACGGGAGGCAGCAGUGGGGAAUAUUGGACAAUGGGCGAAAGCCUGAUCCAGCAAUGCCGCGUGAGUGAUGAAGGCCUUAGGGUUGUAAAGCUCUUUUAACCGGGAUGAUAAUGACAGUACCGGGAGAAUAAGCGCCGGCUAACUCCGUG